UACGUAGGGCGCAAGCGUUAUCCGGAGUUAUUGGGCGUAAAGAGCUCGUAGGCGGUUUGUCGCGUCUGCCGUGAAAGUCCGGGGCUCAACUCCGGAUCUGCGGUGGGUACGGGCAGACGUAGAGUGAUGCAGAGGUCGGUGGAAUUGCCGGUGUAGUGGUGAAAUGCGUAGAGAUCGGCAGGAACACCCAGGGGGAAACCAGCCGACUGGGCAUCGUAACUGACGCUGAGGUGCGAGAGCGUGGGGAGCGAACCGG
rnacentral:rRNA from 1 species